GUCUACGGCCAUACCACCCUGAACGCGCCCAAUCUCGUCUGAUCUCGGAAGCUAAGCUGGGUCGGCCUGGUUAGUACUUGGAUGGGAGAAAGCUGAAAUUCUAGAAA
ensembl:rRNA 5S_rRNA 5S ribosomal RNA